CAGGAAGGUGAUCUAAUCGGCAUCGCGGGAAACCACUGGAAUGGCUUCGGACGAGGGACCAAUAAAAGGACUAAUCAAAACGGCCUAAUUCCAUGGUACAAGACAGCAGACCACUUAGUGCUGUAUCCAUUCCCCGAGUACAAGCAAGUGGAUAAAGAGAGACGGAACGACUUAUAGGGGCGUUUUGUUCGCAAGUACAGUCGGCGAUAGAAGUGCUUUCAAUGAAAUAUUACAAAACAGAACUAUUUAAAAAUGGGUAUUAUGAGAUACUGAGGAUGUGAGCAGAUUUAAAUAAUUGAGUGGUAUUUUAAAUUAUUCGUUUUACAGCAAUGUGUGCUGCAAAAUCUCAAUGUAUAUUCUGUAUAUUUAAUCGAAAUAAAUAAUGUACUUUUGUAUCAUGAAAACUAAUUUAAAAUUGUAAUUGUAAUAAAUAAUAUUUUAAAAAUAUUUUAACGAAUUUAGAAACAUUUUAAAAGGCUUAAAAUAUAAGCAAUUUAUAUACGCACACUGGUUUCACAUAUAAUAAGUUUUUACUCACAAAUGAACCAUAUAAAAGAUAAUGGAUAAUUAAUAAUUAUGCUUAAUAACUUAAGUGAAGCAUUAUGUCGUCGACUGUACAUUUAGCCGAUUAAACCCAAGUUGUUGUUAAUAUUAUUAAAUAUUGAAUUUAUUCGGAUAAGACUUAGGUGUAAUUGCUGCAAAUAAUAUAAGUAAUUGUUGUUAAUUUGUUUGCGAGAAAAUUGUAGGCGAUUGGAUAAUUCAGUUAAUGAAGAGUUUUGUUAGUCAGACUUUUAUAUGUAUACAAUGUGAUACAUUUUUACGCUUAUAAUAUUUUUUUUAAGCUUAUUAUGUUCGGUGUAUGUUUUUUAUUUUGCGAGAUUCAUCCUUCGCCUUUGAAAUGUAUCACAUUGUAUAGAUUUUUUAAACAUGGUUCAAGAUAAAGAUACAGCUUUUUUUUAUCGAAUAAAUGUUAACGACGACUCGCACGAUAAUUUAUCGUUACGAUAAAACAAAUGACUUCUAAAAAACGGAAGGUUAAAAGCCAAACGCUGUAUAAUUGUUUGCAAUUGAAUUAAGUAAGCAAACUAAGGAGGCCUGUGUCCCAGCAGUGGGAACGUGUGUGAGCUGAUGACGAUGAUUCAAAAUAAUUCGGACAUAAGUGACGCAAUAGGUACUUACAGAGUGACUGUAUACUUAUAGCAAGGGUAGGCUUUCACCCGCGGCUUCGCCUGUGUAUUUAAAGGAAAAUAUAGACAGUCCCGGGGCUUUUACAUAUGUAACUAUAUGGGAAAGUUUCAUUAAAAUGACCAGAUUUCAUCACUGUUUGCCAUUUACGCACAGUGAUAUUACUAGAAACUUGAAAUUUUGCAUCAUGCUUUUUUAUAGUAGGUGUGUAGGUGAGCCCUUGGAUUUUUGAUAAUAUUUCUUUAAUGGGAUAUUUAACAAUAGGGGUGUUUUGUAUGAAACUUCGCUAUGAGGAUAUAAUGAAAUUUAAUCGUUUCGAUUAUAAAAAAAAAAACAGAACAACCAUACAUAAUCUUAUACAAAAAUACAAACGUAAAAGGAAAAUCAAACUUCUUAGCAUUACUUUAAGGUGUAUUCACAAAACGUACCAAAAGUAACAGCUUAAACGAGUUGAUCAAUUAUCAUCAAAAUAAAUUACAUCUUAUUCGAAUGCAUUAAAGUCGGAUUUACAAAAGCACCAAAACGCCACCAUAGGUGAAUUUAGAAAAUAUUCUACAAAUAAUGAAUAUUUGUAGAGUUUUUUCUAAAUUGGGCGGUGGUGAUCGCUUACCAUCAGGCGAAGCACCAGCUCGUUUGUCCAUUAUAUAAAAAAAUAACCAUUGGGAACUAAUACUUAUAAGGGUUUCUACGUUCAUUCAAAACGUGAAUUCAGUAAUUAGAUUUUUUUAUCUUAAGAUCUGUAUACAAUCACUCUGUAUGCUUCUGUAGUCUUAACCAUUUAACAUUCUUAAUCUUGGAAAACGAACUAUCAAUAAAAUGAUUUAUAAACCGCUUAAAUAAUUACAAAAUUGUUUAGUUAAUUUGCAAAAUGUAAUCCUUAUUAUAUAUCUAUGUAUGAGUACAAUUCUUAUCAGAUAUCUUUUUAAAAAUUUAGCAAAUCUAUAUCGUUAUUUUAUUCACACUCAUAUCUGAUCCAAUCUGUUUUUUUCUUUCUUUUUUUCAUGAAGACGUUAUCGCUCUAAGACCAGCAAGUCGUUAUUGCCUUAAUUAGAUUUAAAUGAAUGUUAUAUGUAUAUGUAUUAUUAUGUAAAUUUUAGAAGAUUUUCACUAAUGUUCAUGGUAUAGCUAAUGUUUUAACCGACGUUCAAGAAAAGAAGGAGGUUCUCGAUUCGACUAUUUUCUUUUUGUUUUUUUUACUCAUAUUUGUCUUUUAUAGAAAAUUGUUGUCAUUCGGAAAUCUUUGAUAACACUCCCGGGACGUCAGGUACUGUUUUUUGUAUAAAAUAAUUAUUUCGAAUCAUGUUUUUAUUCAAUUUAUACAUUUUAACAUACCUGUUUGUUUUAAGUGUUACCUUUGUUUGCAUUGUGUAUAUUUCCAAUUUUCAUCACAAUAUUGAAUAACAAUCUUUUAUAUGUGUGAAGGAUCGUUGAUUCCGUUGAUUUGUUUGUUUGUGUUAUAUAAUAUAAUGUACACAAUGCAGAGAAUAUUAAACCCGAGAGAUACGGAUAUCUAGUUGCAACUGUAGAUGUGUGAGUGUAUUGUAUGCGUAUUAUUUCACGUUAUAUAUGUAGUGUUGUAAUGUUUGCAAAUAAUAAUUAAAUAAGGCCAUUGACGUACAAUAAAUAACUACACUCAUAAUUGUCCAAAGCAGAACUGCCUACAUGCGUGUUGUAAUCAGUGAUAUAAUAGACUUUGAAAAUUAUUGCCCCGAAAUAAGGGGUUAAUUUCAUUGAAUGUUCUUACAACGCAACUCGGACACAUUUUGACAACCUUUUAAUAGGCGAUUGUAAUUCUAGUUGUUUAUAGUACGCCAAUGUUUAAGGCAAAUAUUUUGUCAUUCGGUGCACGUAUUUUAGUUUUAAUUGUAAGAUCGUUUCUCAAAUCAAAGACUUCGAAUCUCACCCGUUCCACAUUUGAACCACAUUCCAUAUUUAAAACAGAAUUCCACAUUCGAAAUGUUAGUUACGUCCAAUAAUGAUUAGAAUCUUAAUAGAAGCAUCUCUUAAUUUCCUAGGGACAUUUAUUAACUUUUUUAUGAUCUUUAUAAACUAGAAAAUGAUAGCAUUUUUGUAUAGCUUCCUAGUUUAGUUAGUUUUUUUUUAAAACAAGUCGCAAAAUAUGAGUGUAACACGUAACACAAAAACUGCGUUUUAUAGCGUAGCGUGUGUUUAAGCUCAAUGAUCUGUAUUCUGAGAUUUUUAGGAAUUAAUAUUAAAAUGAUGCGCCGCCCCAAAAAAUACAACGGAGCAUAUUUAUAUCUUUAUUUAUAUUAUGAAAGAGUAUUUAAAAUAAAUUGCUUGAUACUUUUAUUUGGUCGUUUAUUCGGUAGUGUAAAGGAAUAUGAAGGAAGUUUUAUCAUGGUUUUUAAAUAUUUUAUUUUUACAAUCAUGUGCAAGAUUCGUAGUCAGUUUCACACCAUUUAUAUUAUAUAUGUUCGGCUUAUCAGCUAAGAAUUUAUAUCUGUACAAUCAAAUAAGAAGGUUGAUUAUAAUGUCCCUGAUAACUUAUUUGACACUUUUGGUCUUAAAAAAUUUUCAAAUUUUCAUACAAUGUUUGUUGAUUUAUCUGAAAGACGAGCUGAAAAUAUCUUGAAGUGGUGAAACCGGCUAUUAAUUUUCGAUAGUUCAUAUUUCAAUAAAAUUCAAUAUUACUCUGCAACCCAAUUGCGUCGUUUUUUUCAUUUUAAAUGUAAGUGGGAAAGAGAUGCAAUCGUGCAAGUGAGAUAAACAAUAUGUGAGGGUAUUUUAAUAAUGCACAUAAUGUCAUAUUAGUAAUAAUUUUAUUUUUUAUGUAUGGAAGUAAUCUCGUAUAUAACUUUUAGUAGGACUGGGUAAAAAUUCGAACAUAUUAAAAAUAACAUGGGUCUCUAUUAUUACAUGAUGUUUGGUUUUUAGGUUAUUUUUAAUUAUAUAGUAUUUUAUCUGGUAGUGGUUACAUCUAUUUAUAUUAAAUUUAACGGGAUCCAUAAGAUUCAUUGAUAAUAUUUAACGUAUGAUUCUUAUAUAUCUGUCUCUUUCUGAUGUUUAAAAGUGUCAUUUCAUAGAGCGACAUAACCUUGCUUCAAUGUUUAAGUGAAACUCGUGUUUUAUAAUAUUAAAUGAUAGUAUAUGAUACCAUAUAUAUACGUACCAAGGCAUUUUAAUUGCAAUAUUUUUUUUGUUAGACAGAGAUGCAAAAUAUGCCAUUUCUAUCAUACGUUUAUGUUAUUAAAUAAAUGGAAUAUUGCUUUAAGGCGAUGAAAAAUCAAUUUUGUUGUAUUUUAUGAAUAGGGAAUAUUUUCGCAUGAUAAUAAUUUACAUAUGCCUACUUAUGUUAUUUUUUAUGUGCCAAUUUUUGUAUCGUUAUUUGAUUGUUGCGUUUAAUUCAAUCAUUCAUACAAUAUUUAUCUAAGCUGUUUAAAGAGUAAUAGUUAAUUUUGAUGUAUUUUUUUUAUUAUGAGAUUAUGAAAUGCUAAUAUUGUUAGAGUAAUAGCAAAUAACCCAGUCUUACGUCGAAUUAAUCGUAUAACCUCAGCCUUAUAGCAGUGAUGUAGACAUUUUUACUGAACGUUAAUGUUACGAAGUUUAAUAACUGUCGAAUAUGGACCUAAACUGUGUGUAUAUAGCUUUAUAUUGUAUUAAUGUAUAUAAAAUGAUAGUAAUAUAUAAGUAUUUUAAGGUA